rnacentral:rRNA from 1 species
CGUAGGGCGCGAGCGUUGUCCGGAAUUAUUGGGCGUAAAGAGCUCGUAGGCGGCUUGUCACGUCGGUUGUGAAAGCCCGGGGCUUAACCCCGGGUCUGCAGUCGAUACGGGCAGGCUAGAGUUCGGUAGGGGAGAUCGGAAUUCCUGGUGUAGCGGUGAAAUGCGCAGAUAUCAGGAGGAACACCGGUGGCGAAGGCGGAUCUCUGGGCCGAUACUGACGCUGAGGAGCGAAAGCGUGGGGAGCGAACAGGAUUAGAUACCCUGGUAGUCCACGCCGUAAACGGUGGGCACUAGGUGUGGGCAACAUUCCACGUUGUCCGUGCCGCAGCUAACGCAUUAAGUGCCCCGCCUGGGGAGUACGGCCGCAAGGCUA